rnacentral:lncRNA from 1 species
UUGCAUGAUCCAUGAUUUCAAAGAAAGCGGUAUACUUUGCUACCAAAAAAGAAGAAAAAAAAAAAGAAAGCGGCAUACCAAUCAUUGCAAGUACUCGACAUACUUAUAUGAUUGAUUCAAGAGAAAGGUUUGUGCCAUGAAAGGUUUGUGCAUUAAGAGUGAUAAGUAUAUUUCACUUUCGCAAAUGCACAACCAUGUUUCACAUGAUGAAAGAUG